rnacentral:rRNA from 1 species
GAUGAACGCUGGCGGCGUGCCUAAUACAUGCAAGUCGAGCGAACGGACGAGAAGCUUGCUUCUCUGAUGUUAGCGGCGGACGGGUGAGUAACACGUGGAUAACCUACCUAUAAGACUGGGAUAACUUCGGGAAACCGGAGCUAAUACCGGAUAAUAUUUUGAACCGCAUGGUUCAAAAGUGAAAGACGGUCUUGCUGUCACUUAUAGAUGGAUCCGCGCUGCAUUAGCUAGUUGGUAAAGUAACGGCUUACCAAGGCAACGAUGCAUAGCCGACCUGAGAGGGUGAUCGGCCACACUGGUACUGAGACACGGUCCAGACUCCUACGGGAGGCAGCAGUAGGGAAUCUUCCGCAAUGGGCGAAAGCCUGACGGAGCAACGCCGCGUGAGUGAUGAGGGUCUUCGGAUCGUAAAACUCUGUUAUUAGGGAAGAACAUAUGUGUAAGUAACUGUGCACAUCUUGACGGUACCUAAUCAGAAAGCCACGGCUAACUACGUGCCAGCAGCCGCGGUAAUACGUAGGUGGCAAGCGUUAUCCGGAAUUAUUGGGCGUAAAGCGCGCGUAGGCGGUUUUUUAAGUCUGAUGUGAAAGCCCACGGCUCAACCGUGGAGGGUCAUUGGAAACUGGAAAACUUGAGUGCUUUAGAGGAAAGUGGAAUUCCAUGUGUAGCGGUGGAAUGCGCAGAGAUAUGGAGGAACACCAGUGGCGAAGGCGACUUUCUGGUCUGUAACUGACGCUGAUGUGCGAAAGCGUGGGGAUCAAACAGGAUUAGAUACCCUGGUAGUCCACGCCGUAAACGAUGAGUGCUAAGUGUUAGGGGGUUUCCGCCCCUUAGUGCUGCAGCUAACGCAUUAAGCACUCCGCCUGGGGAGUACGACCGCAAGGUUGAAACUCAAAGGAAUUGACGGGGACCCGCACAAGCGGUGGAGCAUGUGGUUUAAUUCGAAGCAACGCGAAGAACCUUACCAAAUCUUGACAUCCUUUGACAACUCUAGAGAUAGAGCUUUCCCCUUCGGGGGACAAAGUGACAGGUGGUGCAUGGUUGUCGUCAGCUCGUGUCGUGAGAUGUUGGGUUAAGUCCCGCAACGAGCGCAACCCUUAAGCUUAGUUGCCAUCAUUAAGUUGGGCACUCUAAGUUGACUGCCGGUGACAAACCGGAGGAAGGUGGGGAUGACGUCAAAUCAUCAUGCCCCUUAUGAUUUGGGCUACACACGUGCUACAAUGGACAAUACAAAGGGCAGCGAAACCGCGAGGUCAAGCAAAUCCCAUAAAGUUGUUCUCAGUUCGGAUUGUAGUCUGCAACUCGACUACAUGAAGCUGGAAUCGCUAGUAAUCGUAGAUCAGCAUGCUACGGUGAAUACGUUCCCGGGUCU